UAGGGAGUGAAUUUUUCGGGUUAAAUGCCUUUCUCAGAUUCAGGGGGUAAAAAUCGGGCGCUAUUUUUAAAACUGUAAUUCGGGGAGAAAUCGGGCGAUAAUUGUGCCUUCGGGGGUUAUCGGGUGUUUUUGUUUCUCCUCUUGUCUAUUAAGUCCAUUCGUAAUCUCUCUCUCUCUCUGGCUUCUUUCUUUUUUUUUUUUUUUGUGGGCUUGUGACCUUCAGCGGUAAUCCCCGAAGGCAUAGACAGUGUUUACAUACAUACGUGUAUUGCUGGGAACGUAAGUGACCCAUUCUUACAUGCGUUACACGUGGCGACCUUUGUUCGUCUUCAGUGGAAACGUCACUCGAGGAUUUCAUAGUGACUGGAAUUCGGGGAGAAAUCGGGUUUAACCCGAAGUGGUUGGAGGUCAGUUCGGGGGGGAAUAACCGGGCGGAAUCGGGUUUAACCCAAAAACGGCACUCCCUAACUAUAUACAGUUGAACCUCCAUAUAACGAACAUCGCUUAAAUUGUCUACUUAAAGGGGCAAUAAACAGGUAUACGAGGCGCACUUUUUUUAAAUACAUUGUGAUACGUUGCCGAAGGUGAACAUUCUAAAAAAAAUUUUGUUGCAGAAGAUUAAAUAAUGGCUCCAAACCGGCUGAAUAUUGACUGCACUCACGACACAAUUUUGACGCCACGCAUCAUCAUCCAUUUAGAAUGUGGGACGCUUAUACAUUAAUUUAGUUAUAAUAUCGAGAAGUGAGGUCAAUUCUAAACAUAUUCCCACUUGUCCAGUCCAAGGUAGCCAGUUCAAACUGUACCAAAACCCCUCAAUAUUCUAUUUCACGUGCACACUAUGUUUUCUUUGCUGUAUUGCUCCGCGAGGUAACUACGAUGUUCCCGCAACUGGUGCCCUCACGAACUGCUGGUUGUCUCAGUGGGGUCCGUCAUUGGCAAGGAGAGCGAAAUCUCCCCCAACGCCAGCGCCUAGAAUUCGGUGUUGCUAUAUGCUGGAAUAUACUGACGUGACCCAGUUCCAUGGAUAAGGAGAGGCUCGCGCGGAUUAUGCUCUUUGAAUGGCAUUGUUUCGCGUUAAAGAUGCUCGCUAGAAGCAGAAGAAUUUCAUAUUUGGACAUCGUGAGCUACGUUCUUUCAGGAAGUCGUAGCCAUCCGAGCCAAAAUGUACAGCAUUCUCUUGGCUGGGACACACAAACAGUUCGCGACAGCAAAAGGAGUUAAGAAAGACGUGGUGAGCAAACAUUUAUUGCACGAAAUGUACCGAGAUUCUCUGUUUGAUGAAAAGACAGUCUCUCAGAAGCAGUGCACCAUCCACAGUAUAAAGCAAACCAUGUACACCAUUUCGAGACUCAAGAAGAGCUUGGUCCCCUACGACGACAAGCGCUAUCUCGUGGAUGCCGUACACUCCUUCCUUUACGGAAGCUGCGAAUACGCAUCGGAAAACCCGGAAGAGAACCCGAGAGCGUCAACGUCAGGCAUCGACUGACCGUUGAACAAAGAGCAAGUCCUUCGUGCACGCGUAUAUAAUCGAGAAUAAAAGUUCUAGUCCA